rnacentral:rRNA from 2 species
UAUGUGUUGUUGGGUAGGGGAGCGUUCUGUAAGCCGUUGAAGGUGUGCUGUGAGGCAUGCUGGAGGUAUCAGAAGUGCGAAUGCUGACAUAAGUAACGAUAAAGCGGGUGAAAAGCCCGCUCGCCGGAAGACCAAGGGUUCCUGUCCAACGUUAAUCGGGGCAGGGUGAGUCGACCCCUAAGGCGAGGCCGAAAGGCGUAGUCGAUGGGAAACAGGUUAAUAUUCCUGUACUUGGUGUUACUGCGAAGGGGGGACGGAGAAGGCUAUGUCAGCCGGGCGACGGUUGUCCCGGUUUAAGCAUGUAGGCGGAGGUUCCAGGUAAAUCCGGUACCUUUUAACGCUGAGGUGUGAUGACGAGGCACUACGGUGCUGAAGUGAUAAAUGCCCUGCUUCCAGGAAAAGCCUCUAAGCAUCAGGUAACACGAAAUCGUACCCCAAACCGACACAGGUGGUCAGGUAGAGAAUACCAAGGCGCUUGAGAGAACUCGGGUGAAGGAACUAGGCAAAAUGGUGCCGUAACUUCGGGAGAAGGCACGCUGAUA